rnacentral:rRNA from 1 species
UUUGAUUAUGGCUCAGAUUGAACGCUGGCGGGAUGCUUUACACAUGCAAGUCGAACGGCAGCACGGACUUCGGUCUGGUGGCGAGUGGCGAACGGAGUGAGUAAUGUAUCCGGAACGUGCCUAGUAGCGGGGGAUAACUACGCGAAAGCGUAGCUAAUACCGCAUACGCCCUUCGGGGAAAGCGGGGACCUUCCGGGCCUCGCACUAUUAGAAGCGGCCGAUAUCAGUUAGCUAGUUGGUGGGGUAACAGCUCACCAAGGCGACGAUCCGUAGCUGGUUUGAGGGGACGACCAGCCACACUGGGACUGGAACACGGCCCAGACUCCUACAGGAGAGGCAGCAGUGGGGGAAUUUUGGACAAUGGGGAAACCCUGAUCAGCCAUCCCGCGUGUGCGAUGAAGGCCUUCCGGGUUGUAAAGCACUUUUGGCAGGAAAGAGGCACGGGAUAAUACCCCGUGCAACUGACGGUACCUGCAGAAUAAGCACCAGCUAACUACGUGCCAGCAGCCGCGGUAAUACGUAGGGUGCAAGCGUUAAUCGGAAUUACUGGGCGUAAAGCGUGCGCAGGCGGUUCGGAAAGAAAGAUGUGAAAUCCCAGAGCUUAACUUUGGAACUGCAUUUUUAACUACCGAGCUAGAGUGUGUCAGAGGAGGUGGAAUUCCGCGUGUAGCAGUGAAAUGCGUAGAUAUGCGGAGGAACACCGAUGGCAAGAGGCAGCCUCCUGGAUAACACUGACGCUCAUGCACGAAAAGCGUGGGAGCAAACAGGAUUAGAUACCUGGUAGUCCACGCCCUAAACGAUGUCAACUAGCUGUUGGGGCCUUCGGGCCUUGGUAGCGCAGCUAACGCGUGAAGUUGACCGCCUGGGGAGUACGGUCGCAAGAUUAAAACUCAAAGGAAUUGACGGGGACCCGCACAAGCGGUGGAUGAUGUGGAUUAAUUCGAUGCAACGCGAAAAACCUAUGACAUGUCUGGAAUCCGAAGAGAUUUGGGAGUGCUCGCAAGAGAACCGGAACAAGAGUGCUGCAUGGCUGUCGUCAGCUCGUGUCGUGAGAUGUUGGGUUAAGUCCCGCAACGAGCGCAACCCUUGUCAUUAGUUGCCACGAGGGCACUUCUAUUGAGACUGCCGGUGACAAACCGGAGGAAGGUGGGGAUGACGUCGUCCUCAUGGCCCUUAUGGAUAGGGCUUCACGUCAUACAAUGGUCGGGACAGAGGGUCGCCAGCCCGCGAGGGGAGCCAAUCGAAACCCGAUCGUAGUCAGCGGGAUCGCAGUCUGCAGCUCGACUGCGUGAAGUCGGAAUCGCUGGUAAUCGCGGAUCAGCAUGUCGCGGUGAAUACGUUCCCGGGUCUUGUACACACCGCCCGUCACACCAUGGGAGUGGGUUUUACCAGAAGUAGUUAGCCUAACCGUAAAGGAGGGCGAUUACCACGGUAGGAUUCAUGACUGGUGAAGUCGUAACAAAAUUAA